rnacentral:rRNA from 1 species
UACGAAGGGGGCUAGCGUUGUUCGGAAUCACUGGGCGUAAAGCGCACGUAGGCGGAUCUUUAAGUCAGGGGUGAAAGCCCAGGGCUCAACCCUGGAAUUGCCUUCGAUACUGGAGAUCUUGAGACCGGAAGAGGUAAGUGGAACUGCGAGUGUAGAGGUGAAAUUCGUAGAUAUUCGCAAGAACACCAGUGGCGAAGGCGGACUUACUGGUCCGGUUCUGACGCUGAGGCGCGAAAGCGUGGGGAGCAAACAGG